UCUGGUCUUGGGACACUGUCAGGUGGGCAGUUUGACUGGGGCGGUCGCCUCCCAAAAGGUAACGGAGGCGCUCAAAGGUUCUCUCAGUACGGUCGGAAAUCGUACGUAGAGUGUAAAGGCAAAAGAGAGCUUGAUUGCAAGACAUACAGGUCGAGCAAGGAUGAAAAUCGGACUUAGUGAUCCGGUGGUGCUGCGUGGAAGGGCCAUCGCUCAACGGAUAAAAGCUACCCUGGGGAUAACAGGCUUAUCUCCCCCAAGAGUCCACAUCGACGGGGAGGUUUGGCACCUCGAUGUCGGCUCAUCACAUCCUGGGGCUGUAGUAGGUCCCAAGGGUUGGGCUGUUCGC
rnacentral:rRNA from 1 species